rnacentral:rRNA from 1 species
UACGUAGGGGUGCAAGCGUUGUCCGGAAUUAUUGGGCGUAAAGAGCUUGUAGGCGGUUUGUCGCGUCUGCUGUGAAAUUUCGGGGCUCAACCCCGAACUUGCAGUGGGUACGGGCAGACUAGAGUGUGGUAGGGGAGACUGGAAUUCCUGGUGUAGCGGUGAAAUGCGCAGAUAUCAGGAGGAACACCGAUGGCGAAGGCAGGUCUCGUGGGCCAUACUGACGCUGAGAAGCGAAAGCAUGGGGAGCGAACAGG